CCCCUCUAUCGCCUCCACCACUCCAUCAUAAUCGCCAUAAUUAACAAGUAAAAACGGAGAGAGUGUGAGAGAUCAAACACCCAAGACAGAUCGAAGUUAGAUAUGGUUUUUGUAAGUCCACCACUACCAGCUCCGAUUUUUUAGGCUAUCGGUACCGACCACAAUAUAUCCUUGUAAUCUCUCACAACCAGCGAUCUUAACUUCAAGCUACAAGAAAAUCAAACCAUUAUAUAUAAUAUAAAGUUUAGCAGGAGGGGGUGAUUGAAAAUUGUUUAGUAUUUGAAGUAGGUGGGUUUUAGAAAGAAAGAAUUAUAGGGAAUUGGGGCGGUGAUUAUGAUAACUAGAUCAAAGUUGGUAGAACAAUUGAGAGAAAAUCAGAUCAGAUCUCAACACAAGUGGUUUCCUCCUCUUGUUCUCUUCUCUCCUAAGCCUACUCUCUCCUCCUGGGUUGAUGUUACUGUGGCAAUCUUGUGGGCCACACUGUUCAUUGUGCUUGUAAUAUUAUCAUACAUGACCCUCUACUCCAGACAUUUUUGGCUUUCCUUUGCGAUCAUUUGUCUUGGUAUUUUAGUUCCUAUACGCUUGAGGAUUUCUAGGCAGACAAUUGCAAGGAAAAAAGAUAGAAGGUUGCUAUUGCCUUUGUCCAUGUAAACAGCCACAAUUGGUCAUACAACUAUACAAGUCAAACCCAGUUAUCUUAUCAACUGGUGAAAGUGUGAAACUGUUAGAAACUCCAAGUAGCUGUUAGAAUAGACGCUGUUAUUGCUCUUUUUCCCCUUUUUAUCUAUAUGUACAAAACAUGAUUAAUUACUCACAUUUUCAUUUGACUAGUUCAUUUAAGCUCAAUGCUAUUGGGUAUUAUGGCUAUUAAA